UACGUAGGGACCAAGCGUUUGUUCGGAUUUACUGGGCGUAAAGGGCGCGUAGGCGGCGCGGUAAGUCACUUGUGAAAUCUCUGAGCUUAACUCAGAACGGCCAAGUGAUACUGCAGUGCUAGAGUGUGGAAGGGGCAAUCGGAAUUCUUGGUGUAGCGGUGAAAUGCGUAGAUAUCUGGAGGAACACCGGUGGCGAAGGCGGCAUUCUGGACUACAACUGACACUGAGGACGAAAGCCAGGGGAGCAAACGGG
rnacentral:rRNA from 1 species